CGGGAUAGCUCAGCUGGUAGAGCAGAGGACUG
rnacentral:tRNA from 4 species